UUCACAAACAACCCGCCUUUUAUUUCUUUAAAAUAUUGUUGUUUAGAAAGUUAAAGGUUUAACCUCAAACUUUCAUCAUUCAUAUAUACUAUGUGUAACACCUAUGUAUUACAUGGGUUAAUUAAAAAAGUUAAAAUUGAUUUUUUUUUCUCUUUUAAAUAUAAAUAAAUAAACUAAUGAGCUUUCAUUUGGAAAUUUUAAAAUAAAAAGGUAAGUUUAUUAAUGAAUUUGAUAUUCAUUUAUUAUUAUAUUUAUUAUAAUUAUUAUAUUAAAGUAUUAUGUGAAAUUUAUUUCAAUAGAAAAAAAAAUCCAUAAAAUGACAUGUGAAAAAAAUUAAAUCAAAAUAACCACAAAUUGACAUUUGGCAAAUUGAAUGAGAGUGUGACAUGUGACAAAAAAAUCUUCAUUUAUUAGAGUAGAUAUUUUAAUUUUAUUUAAAUUAUGGUUUUCUUGUGGCUUUUUAUUUUGUAUAUAAAAUAGAGUAAAAAACUGCAGCAAGGUACGGAUAUUUAUUACUAGGUUAAACUUUAAUUAAUCUAUAUGCCAAGAUAUAAUUGUCAAACAACGUUUUCCAACGGUUUGUUUUGUUGUCGAACUACCAUUAAGGUUAAAUUUAGUGUUUGUUAAGAUUUCACGCUUAUUUAAUAUGUAAACACCCACAACUCAUUAUCAUUGAGUAAACUCAUAUUUUGUGCUUGAGAUCAACCAAUAAAUUAUAAGGUUUCUGCAAAAAGAUUAUUCUUCCAGCAACCACUGAGUUGAUUCAUACCGUCCUACCACUGAGAACUGUGUCAAUGUAUAGGGGGUUGCAUUUUGAGCAAAAUUGUGGGAGGUAGGAAUGUGUGAUAUGAAAGAUGAUGUAAUGGUUAGGUUUGAUAUACAUGAAUUGAGUUAAGGUAUGUUGUACCAUUUUCAUAUAAGUACUACAAUAAUGGAAAAAGAAUAGGUCAUCUUGUGGGCAUGAUAGGGGACCAUGAGUUGGUUACAUUGGUACCUCAAUCCAUUCAAUGGUACGCUACCUAAAUGAUUUGUUUGCAGCGGAUGAAUUUGAGAUUCCAUUCCAUGAAUGGAGGGAAUUCAAUUCCAUGUGUUAGGAGUUAGGACAAACAAAUGGAAAGACUAAGAGUUGUCAUGAGUGUUGGUUAGGUCAGAUUAAGACUAAUCCUUCAUCAUUAAUUGUGGCCGAAUUUAGACAUUGAAUACUUAUGUUAACUAUCUACAUGUGCACUUCCUGAAAAGGAGGAACACCAGCUAACGAUUCAUUAUGCUCAAAAUAAUAAUGUUGUACAAAUUAUCUAGAGGACAACUAUGUUCCAUUUAUGAGUUAUGACCUACCUUUUAGCUAGAUAGUUGUAUAAUUUAAAACAACAAAAGUUUUUUUUUUUUAAUAGAGGCGUUUGAAAAAGUAAAAAAUAUAAGUUGUAAUGACAUCAUCAAUACAGUAGUUUUGUUGAUUUGAGAAAUGGUAUAGAGUGGGAUUAGUGGGUGUAUGAAAAAAAGACUUGGGUGGUGUUUAUUUUAUUUAUUGUUUUUUUGGAAAGCAAACCAUCUAAUGAAGGUUUCAGGGCAUGUUUUAGUGUAUCGACUAAUCAUCCGCUGCAAACAUGAGGUAAUAUUUCAUGUAUGGGAGUCACUGCAAUUGAACCUCCAUGACCACAAAGGCUGAGUGGUGUUACGAUUUAAACAUGAGUCAGUAGAUUAUUCAACAUAUUUUCCAUAUGUCUUACUAAGUCACCACAACACAAGUGGUUAAUGUUUAUUUUGAAAAAGAUAAAAUGUCUUUGGGUUUUUUUCAUGUAUUCAUAAAAAAUAUUGUUUGUUUUUUAAAAUCCCCAAAAAGAUUAGAAUUUGGUGGAUUUGUGUUAGUCGUUAAAAUAAAAGGUCAAACUCUUAAAACCUAUUCAAAAUAACUUUUGAAAUACAAGUUUUUUUUUUAUUUAAAAAAAAGUUUUAAACUCGUAAUCAUGAACAAUUUUCUUUAAUACAUGUUAAAAAAGACUAAAAACUUAUAAAAUAUUUCAAAAUUUUGUUUUGAACAUACCAUUCUCUCUCUCUUCAUAUAUUUUAUCGGUUGGUUCUCAAUUUCUUGCAAUGUUAUCCAUUAAUCGUUUUUGAUAAUUCAGAAAAUGACACAUAUUUACCAUUUUAAGUUGUACAUAUAUAUAAAAGUUCUAAAAGUCAUCUAAUUUAUUAAGAUUUUAAAAUAUGUUGUCGACUUUUUGUUCGUGUGAAGCCCAUGUCAAACUGAUUAUUCUAUUUUGGCUGGCUACUUAUGAAUCAAAUAUUGAAUGUACACAGGAACAAAUAGGUAAUCAUGAUCAUCUAAUGGUUAGUGCUCUUUUGCAUUUACUUUUUGAUGGAUGAUAAUUGUUGUUAUUAAUAGAGGGAGGACAUUAAGUUCUAGUUGUAAAUGAUGGGUGAUUAGUGAUAUUGUAGGAUGUAGAUAUGCAUUCAUGGAUAGUAGUUAGGUAUUAAUUCUUGCUUUUAUUUCGUAAUUGACAUUUUAAUUUAAAAAUGAAUUUUGACUUAAAUGACCAUUAAAUUCGCGAUUUUGACUCGAUUCAGUCACUAAAGUUCUGAUCACGCUGAAUCAGACACUAAACUCUUGAUUUUUGUUCGAUUAACCCCUUACGGUGUGACAUCUUUAAUUUUAUAGUCCGAAAAGACAUUUUUUUUAUACUUAUUUAAAAUAUGGUAUUCUUUUAUUUAUGCGGAUUUUGUCCCAUAAUAGUUAUAAUGUGAGAUAAAAGCAUUUCCGAAAAACGUUUUUCAUUAAUAAUUAAAACAUUGGGAUGUCAUAACCGAUACAUAAACAUAAACUAGUCAUUACAGACCUUACAACAUUUUAUUUUACUAACGAACUUAAACUCCUUAAAUCUCUCAACAGAUUCAAAACAUCACUAUCUCUGAACCUUUGUACCACUAUUUGUGAUACAAAGAAACUGAGUGGCUCGGCCUGGAAAGUCUGAUGAGUAUAUAGGGUUUUCAACACACAAUAAUUAAAAUUUUUAAUUAUGUAUUUCACAUCAAACAUUUACCCGAUUACCCAUUUCCAUCAUUUUCACUCUCUGAUCCUAAAAUGAUGAUCUCAAGGGACUUAUCCUAAAGGAUCACUAUAAGCAACGGGUAGACAAUACCACCUUGGGGACUCCUUAGCAGUAUGUGUCGAUAAGGCAAUCAUGAGGGAGGAUAGAGUAUCUGAACGAACGCACGGUUCAUUAACACCUACAGGUUGUGAGUCUGUCAGUGUUCCACAAGACUGUCUAGAAUAAUCAGUGGUUGUCAUCUAUACUCUCGUAGAUGGAUGGUCGCAGUGGUACAAUAGUGCAGUGGUCACAGUCUCACACAACCCUUCACUACCCGAUAUAAUUGAAAGUAUAAUAAAUAUAAGGUUUAAUCAUAUCAUAUUGCUUUAUCUAACACAUAUACAAAUAAAGAGCACAUAUAAGAUUUAAGCAUUUAAAAUACUUGGAUUUAUGUGUAAGUUGAAAAUAACUAUGCACUCACCGGUUAGAAGUGGAUUGACUUGUGAUUAGAUCAACGCUUCGCGUAACACCUUAGCUUUUUCUUUCAAAAUACCUAGUUAUAAAUAUCACCAAGUCUUGGUCUUUGUCACAUAUUUAUCGUGACUAUAAUAACAAUAGUCUUGUAACGCCUCAAAUUUCAACCCAAUUUUUUCGAUUAAGACUUUAAGUAUUUAUUUAAUUCACAACUGCAAGAUCUUAAAACAUUUAUCAGAGUAUCAUUAAAAGUUAUCAAGUACACAAGUCCCUUAUUGAUGCGAUGAAUCGAGCCGUAUCCAUCCUUUAAUAUAAUAAAACUUGAAACAUGUAAACCACAAAUCGUAAGCACAAAGCUUAGUGAGUUCCCCAAAAUAUCACACACAACACAUCACAAAUAAACAGUUAUGGGUUAUCAACAACCCUGGGGACUAUCGGCAGUCCUAGUGGGCUAACAGUACUCCCGGUGGGUUAUCAGCAAUCAUGGGGACUAUCAGCAGUCUCAGUCACACCUAAACAACAUAACACAAUAAUAACAGCUAGACCUAGUUGGUUGCCACAUAUACAACUAUUCUACCAUGCAGGCUCAUACAAACAUGCAAGAGUCACAAAGACAACUAGCAUCCUGCAUACACAAUUUAGUGACUCGACAUUGGUGCCUUCGAAUCACAAGCACUGGGAGAAGACUCACCUCGCACUGUCGAAUCUCACAGAAAGAAUCUCUGGCCAUUGGCCCGCUAAAAUCACCGCGCUAUCAAUCAAAAAAUAAUCAUCCAAUCAAUAAUCGGAUCCCGAUCCACACUAAGUGUCCAAACUAGGGUAAAAGACCUUUUUAUCCUUUCCAUAACUUGGCCCAAGGCCAAGGCCCAAUCCAACAAUCUAAAGGCCCAAAUUCCAAAUAAACACCUAAGGCCCAAAUUUCCAAAUUGAUCCUAAUCUCUUUCAUGGGCCUUCUCCCAAGAAAGUCCAACAAAAUCUCAAUAGCCCAACCAUGGAAUUCUAAUGGCCCAACAUGGCCCCAAACAACCAAACGCACCCUAGCGCAAAACAACGAAACCCAACGUGCUGAGUACGCGGGGCGUACUCAGCUUGUACGCGCAGCGUACUGCUAGAAGGGCUUAUACGCGCAACGUACUGGCUUGUAUGCCUCGCAUACUCACCAACUUUAUCCAACUUUACAAUUUAGUUCUUAAUCGAUUAAGACCACGACCCAAGCUCAGAUUUGACUUCCUUAAAGGUGGUUAAUCACAUAAAGUUGCCAACUUUAUGUGCAUGCAUGGCUUAAUGGAGCUCUAGAGCUCAAAAGAUCUUAAUAACUGACUUAAUACAUCUUUGAGACUAAAACCACCAUAACGUUUGCACCUUUAUGCUUAUAAAACCCUUAACAUGACCAGAUCUAUAAGGAUAAGCUCCAAAAACGACCUUAGCUCAAAACCACCAACCAAAGGGACUUAAAAGACCCAAAACAAGCCAAAUAAUACAUCUAAUAAAUGAGAUGACAAGCGUUGAACUUUAUACCUCACAAGCCACGAAAUGAAGGUGUUAAAGCUGGAUCUCAAGGCCCUCCUCUAAAGAAUGAGUCUUCAAGCUUCUUCUUCCCCUUCUAGAUGCACAAAAUCCCCCCACAAAAGCCUCACAAGAGCUCAAGAGCACCACAUAAUGGCUCCCAUGAAGGCAUAUAAUUACAGAAUUGCUCCCAUGAAUAGCAGUGACAUGUGGCCAGAGACAAACUAUACUCCACAAUUGCCUCCUAUUAACAGAAGGAUGUCUGGUAGGCCAGCUACUAAGAGGAAGAACUCCACUACAGAGAAUAUAGGAACACACAUGGUUUCUAAGGCUAGAAAGAAAAUCAGAUGUAGUAUUUGCAAGGAGAUAUGUCACAACAAGGCCACUUGUCCACAAAGAAGGCCCCAAAAGUUAAAUGUGAAGAAAUAGAAGAAACAAAAAGUUUGUGUGAAGAAAAAUGCAGGACAGGGUAGUACAAGUGAACCACAACAACAUGAAGAGGUUGAAAUGACUCCUAUUGAGAUGGAUACUACUCAAAAUGAUAUGCAAGUUACUCCUACUAAUGUUGAAUCUAGUAGUGCAGGGGAUUUUAGUCAUUAUAUGCAAUUUACUCCACCUAGAAGUUAUGAAGGCGAUGAGGGUGUUGUGGGUGAGGAAGCUGAUGUGGUUGAGGAAGCUGUUGUGGUUGAGGAAGCUGUUCAAGAUGAGGAGGUUGAGGAGGUUGAUGUUGUUAUCCAAGUUGAUAAUGUUAAUGUUCAGGAGGUUGAUGAGGUUAAUCCUAAUGCUUAAGUUGAUAAUGUUAAUGUUCAGGAGGUUGCUCCUGUUAUCCAAGUUCAGCAGGUAAGUGUUAGGCCAAUUUCAGAGAUUUUGAAAAGGAUAAGGAGAAGAAAGUCAGAGAGAAUAUUGAAGCGGAAAUUAGGCAAAACAAUUGGUGGUGUUGAUGAUCCAGGAAAUUCGAAGGGAAAAUCUCUUGUAAUUGAUUAGUGUUUAUUGUAAUUUGGAUUUAAAGUUUAUGUAAUAGGAUGAUGGUAAUUUGGAUUUAAAGUUUAUGUAAUAGGAUGAUGGUAAUUUAUAUUUAAAGUUUAUGAAAUAGGAUGAAAGUAUUUUGAAUGUU